rnacentral:rRNA from 1 species
UACGUAGGUGGCAAGCGUUUGUCCGGAUUUACUGGGCGUAAAGGGCGUGCAGGCGGUUUGUUAAGUGCAGGGUGAAAGCUCCCGGCUCAACUGGGAGAGGUCCUUGCAUACUGGCAAACUCGAGGGAGGCAGAGGAAAGUGGAAUUCCCGGUGUAGUGGUGAUAUGCGUAGAUAUCGGGAGGAACACCAGUGGCGAAGGCGACUUCCUGGCCUGUUCUUGACGCUGAGGCGCGAAAGCUAGGGUAGCAAACGGG